rnacentral:rRNA from 1 species
AUUUGAUCUCAAAUCAGGUAAGGCUACCCGCUGAAUUUAAGCAUAUUAAUAAGCGGAGGAAAAGAAAAUAACAAUGAUUCCCCUAGUAACGGCGAGUGAAGCGGGAAAAGCUCAAGGUUUUAAUCUCCAGGCCCCCUUUGUUUGGUCUGGCGACAUGUAACCUAUGGAUUGCGGAUUUGGCCAGCUGUGUUUCUUCCUUGCCAAAGCCAGUUGAAUCUGGUGCCAUUGAGGGUGAAAGCCCCGUUAAUGGCAGGGAAGUUGAUGGCUAUUGUGCCCCGCUUUUCGCGAGUCGGGUUGUUUGGGAAUGCAGCCCUAAAUGGGAGGUAAAUUUCUCCUAAAGCUAAAUAUUAGCAAGAGACCGAUAGCAUACAAGUACCGUAAGGGAAAGGUGAAAAGCACUCUGAAGAGAGAGUGAAAAGUACGCGAAACUGUUAGUAGGGAAACGUUUGCACAGCACACUAACUCUAGCCGGAAGCCCCCUCGGGGGUGGAGGGCUCUAUGUUGCCUCGCAGCAAUUCCCCCCGUUGGACAAAACUUUAGUGAAGGUAGGGAGUUUCUGUAGACUUGUUCUGCAGGGCUUCUGUUUAUAGCACUUUAGCAAUACAGCGGGGUAUUUAAAUGGGAUUGAGGUACGCUAAGCAGCUUCUGACUGGUUUUAUUAUCAGCGGAGGCGAUGCCCCCUCCUAUCCCCCAUAGCCAAACCACAAGCUAGACAUUUCUAUGACUGCAUGUGGGGUAACAGUGGCUUGGAAUAUACGGAUUGGGAGUAGGGGACAGUUGCUUAAAGGAUGCGGGGAAGUGUUGAACAAACGACCCGUCUUGAAACACGGACCAAGGAGUCUAACACUAGUGCGAGUCGUUGGGAAAAAUAUCUAAUAAUAGACCCAUGGGCGCAAUGAAAGUGAGGAGUGUGUCAUAGCAUUUGUUGGUACCAAUUCCCUAAUUUAUUAGGGGACGCAGUACCCUCCGACUAGGAAAAGUUUACUUUGACUGGUUUGAGAGUGAGCACUUGUGUUAGGACCCGAAAGAUGGUGAACUAUACUUGAGUAGGGUGAAGCCAGGGGAAACCCUGGUGGAGGCUCGUAGCGAUUCUGACGUGCAAAUCGAUCGUAAAACUUGCGUAUAGGGGCGAAAGACUAAUCGAACUAUCUAGUAGCUGGUUCCUGCCGAAGUUUCCCUCAGGA